rnacentral:rRNA from 1 species
GAGGGAAUCUUCGGAAAGGGGCGAAAGCCUGACCGAGCAACGCCGCGUGAAUGAUGAAGGCCUACGGGUUGUAAAAUUCUGUUAUAAGGGAAGAAUGGCUCUAGUAGGAAAUGGCUAGAGUGUGACGGUACCUUAUGAGAAAGCCACGGCUAACUACGUGCCAGCAGCCGCGGUAAUACGUAGGUGGCGAGCGUUAUCCGGAAUUAUUGGGCGUAAAGAGCGCGCAGGUGGUUGAUUAAGUCUGAUGUGAAAGCCAACGGCUUAACCGUGGAGGGUCAUUGGAAACUGGUCAACUUGAGUGCAUAAGAGGGAAGUGGAAUUCCAUGUGUAGCGGUGAAAUGCGUAGAGAUAUGGAGGAACACCAGUGGCGAAGGCGGCUUCCUGGUCUGUAACUGACACUGAGGGGCGAAAGCGUGGGGGGCAAACA